rnacentral:piRNA from 1 species
UACAUGUACUGAGCCUGGUCAGAUGGGACU